rfam:Lactobacillus plantarum WCFS1 complete genome
UUCAAAUAAGUGGUAAUUGCCUAUAUAAUGUCAUGAUAUGGUUGACGAGUUUCUACCCAACCCCGUAAAGGUUGGACUAUAAGCAAACGAGGUCAUCCC